rnacentral:rRNA from 1 species
GGUUAAGCGACUAAGCGUACACGGUGGAUGCCCUGGCAGUCAGAGGCGAUGAAGGACGUGCUAAUCUGCGAUAAGCGUCGGUAAGGUGAUAUGAACCGUUAUAACCGGCGAUUUCCGAAUGGGGAAACCCAGUGUGAUUCGUCACACUAUCAUUAACUGAAUCCAUAGGUUAAUGAGGCGAACCGGGGGAACUGAAACAUCUAAGUACCCCGAGGAAAAGAAAUCAACCGAGAUUCCCCCAGUAGCGGCGAGCGAACGGGGAGCAGCCCAGAGCCUGAAUCAGUGUGUGUGUUAGUGGAAGCGUCUGGAAAGGCGCGCGAUACAGGGUGACAGCCCCGUACACAAAAAUGCACAUGCUGUGAGCUCGAUGAGUAGGGCGGGACACGUGGUAUCCUGUCUGAAUAUGGGGGGACCAUCCUCCAAGGCUAAAUACUCCUGACUGACCGAUAGUGAACCAGUACCGUGAGGGAAAGGCGAAAAGAACCCCGGCGAGGGGAGUGAAAAAGAACCUGAAACCGUGUACGUACAAGCAGUGGGAGCACGCUUAGGCGUGUGACUGCGUACCUUUUGUAUAAUGGGUCAGCGACUUAUAUUCUGUAGCAAGGUUAACCGAAUAGGGGAGCCGAAGGGAAACCGAGUCUU